rnacentral:rRNA from 1 species
CCUACGGGGGGCUGCAGUGAGGAAUAUUGGUCAAUGGACGAGAGUCUGAACCAGCCAAGUAGCGUGAAGGAUGACUGCCCUAUGGGUUGUAAACUUCUUUUAUAUGGGAAUAAAAUGUUCCACGUGUGGGAUUUUGUAUGUACCAUAUGAAUAAGGAUCGGCUAACUCCGUGCCAGCAGCCGCGGUAAUACGGAGGAUCCGAGCGUUAUCCGGAUUUAUUGGGUUUAAAGGGAGCGUAGGUGGAUUGUUAAGUCAGUUGUGAAAGUUUGCGGCUCAACCGUAAAAUUGCAGUUGAAACUGGCAGUCUUGAGUACAGUAGAGGUGGGCGGAAUUCGUGGUGUAGCGGUGAAAUGCUUAGAUAUCACGAAGAACUCCGAUUGCGAAGGUAGUUCACUGGACUGCAACUGACACUGAGGCUCGAAAGUGUGGGUAUCAAACAGGAUUAGAUACCCUAGUAGUC